rnacentral:misc_RNA from 1 species
GAUGAAGAACGCAGCGAAAUGCGAUAAGUAAUGUGAAUUGCAGAAUUCAGUGAAUCAUCGAAUCUUUGAACGCACAUUGCGCCCCUUGGUAUUCCGAGGGGCAUGCCUGUUCGAGCGUCAUUAUAACCCCUCAAGCUCAGCUUGGUGUUGGGGCCUGCUGCACUGGCAGCCCUUAAAAUCAGUGGCGGCGCCAUCUGGCUCUAAGCGUAGUAAUUCUUCUCGCUAUGGAGUCCUGGUGGAUGCUUGCCAUCCACCCCCAAUUUUUCUAUGGUUGACCUCGGAUCAGGUAGGGAUACCCGCUGAACUUAAGCAUAUCAAUAAGCGGAGGA